AUCCUGCCGGACCUGACUGCUAUCGGAUUGAUACUAAGCCAUGCGAGUCAUUGUAGCAAUACAAGGCAGACGGCUCAGUAACGCGUAGUCAAUCUACCCUAUGGACGGGAAUAACCUCGGGAAACUGAGAAUAAUGCCCGAUAGAACAUUAUGCCUGGAAUGGUUUAUGUUUCAAAUGAUUUAUCGCCAUAGGAUGGGACUGCGGCCUAUCAGUUUGUUGGUGAGGUAAUGGCCCACCAAGACUAUUACAGGUACGGGCUCUGAGAGGAGUAGCCCGGAGAUGGGUACUGAGACACGGACCCAGGCCCUAUGGGGCGCAGCAGGCGAGAAAACUUUGCAAUGUGCGAAAGCACGACAAGGUUAAUCCGAGUGGUUUCUGCUAAAGAAACCUUUUGUCAGUCCUAGAAACACUAACGAAUAAGGGGUGGGCAAGUUCUGGUGUCAGCCGCCGCGGUAAAACCAGCACCUCAAGUGGUCAGGAUGAUUAUUGGGCCUAAAGCAUCCGUAGCUCGUUUUGUAAGUUUUCGGUUAAAUCCAUGCGCUUAACGUAUGGGCUGCCGGGAAUACUGCAUAACUAGGAAGUGGGAGAGGUAGACGGUACUCGGUAGGAAGGGGUAAAAUCCUUUGAUCUAUUGAUGACCACCUGUGGCGAAGGCGGUCUACCAGAACACGUUCGACGGUGAGGGAUGAAAGCUGGGGGAGCAAACCGGAUUAGAUACCCGGGUAGUCCCAGCUGUAAACUAUGCAAACUCAGUGAUGCAUUGGCUUAUGGCCAAUGCAGUGCUGCAGGGAAGCCGUUAAGUUUGCCGCCUGGGAAGUACGUACGCAAGUAUGAAACUUAAAGGAAUUGGCGGGGGAGCACCACAAGUGGUGAAGCCUGCGGUUCAAUUGGAGUCAACGCCGG
rnacentral:rRNA from 1 species